AUAGGAAUAUGGUUGACGCCAAUAAAAAACAACUUUACUACGUUCCCUUAUGGAAGAUUAAUUGAUUGAUUGUAUCUUGCUUUACGUCUCACUCGAGAAUUUUUCACUGAUAUGGAGACGUCACCAAGACCGAUGAAGGUCUUCAGAUUUAGGUCUAUGCUCGGCGCUUACGGCCAUUGGGCAGUGAGGGUUCUUUAGCGUGCCACAUUUGCUUUGACACGGGUCAUCCGUUUUUAAGGUCAUCUUUGAUGACCCGUGACAUACACACCUGAUGCCGAGUGUUUGGCGAUGGAACUGUCACUACCUGUUUUAACUUAACGACUUAGGUCUGUCACGGCCAGGAUUCGAACCCCGUCCUCUCGCAUACGGGGCGAACACUCGAACCUCUUGGCCACCGCGGCGGUUCCUUGUGAAAGUAAAUCUAUAGAGUCCUUCACGGUAACUGCGGAGCUGCUGUCAACGCAUACGCAUAAAUACUUCCGCAGGGCAAAUUUGAUUUUACGGAAAACACUACUUUCGUUUUGAUCAACUCAUAGAUCUUGCAAUAGUACGUUGUUACAGUGUGAACAUGUGGUGUUCUAUUUGGGACAAUGCGAGAGGAAAAGAGAAGGGGAGAAGUUUUUUAAGGUGAAUUGAAGGAUAUUUGCUUCAUUUUCAUUCGAAAUUCAUAUCAGAAACAUAGCCAUAUGAAAGAAGGCUGCAAAGUUAAAUGAUUGCUAAAUCGAUUUCACUUUGUAAAAUCAAUCUCAGAUGAAAUUUUUAUAGUUGCCACACAAGUACAGAUCUUUACAUAUGAUAAAUUCUACGCAGGGGAGGUUGCUUCAUAUUUUUAUCAUCUAAACAGUGGCUAAACUACACUGUGAAAGUCUGUUUACAUGAGUUGAGCGAAUGUCUGUAAGUAUAAAUGUAUAGCAGAUUUUAACUUUGUAUACAUAUUUAAUUGGGCAUAAAGAUGCACAUAAACGUUGAAAUUGGUUAAAGCACUGAAUCUGGAUGGAUUUGUACCCAAUGAACAUUCCUAUACCUAUGUGUGUUCUGGGCACUUUGUGGUUUGGCACAGUGAUGAUCCCUACAAUGAGAACUAUUUCCCCACCAUGUUCUCAUAAGGAUAUGUCUGUUGAUGCAGAAAUGCAGAACCAAGCAACCAGAAGGAAUAUUCAAAAAGCUACCUGGUGUCUAAGUGUGAAAAGAUGGUGUACUGGAGAGGCACUUCUGCUACCACUGGUGAGAGGGUCCGACCUAAAUGUCUGAUGUCAUUGGAGCAUAUAGUUGCAAAAAUGAUUAGAAAAGUUUGCUGUGCCGGCACCCUGCGUUACAGUACAGACACUGAGAAUUUGUGUACUUGAAAAGUACUGGGUCCGUCUAGCUUUAGCUUCCGGUACCUCCAGACCAUAUCACGAUAUAAAAUAGAGGCGAAUAUGAUCUUUCAACAAUUUAUUAAACAUAAAACUAAACUAAAUUGCAUUAAACGUCCAUAAUAUAGACAUCAUAUAGCCGUUCUCUAUAAAAGGAAUAAGGAUGGAUGUUUCGGAGCGAAUCGGAGGAUUUGGUGGGAUUUGGUGGAAAUGAAUAAGUAUUCCACCAAAUCAUGAAAUAUAAAUUUCUUUCUCUCACCUCACAUCUUAAACUGUGAUUGGAUUAGUUUCAACCUAACUUUGAUUCAUAACUUCAGUGUUUUGUCACUAUUAUCGCCAAAAAUCAACACUUGGAGUUGGAGGAACACUGGUGUAAUCAAUACAUAUGUCUAAUACAUAAUAUUAUAACUUAUAAAAUAUUCUCAUUAAAUUUGUCUUA